rnacentral:rRNA from 1 species
AGCGAACGCUGGCGGCAGGCUUAACACGUGCAAGUCGAGCGGGCAUAGCAAUAUGUCAGCGGCAGACGGGUGAGUAACGCGUGGGAACGUACCUUUUGGUUCGGAACAACACAGGGAAACUUGUGCUAAUACCGGAUAAGCCCUUACGGGGAAAGAUUUAUCGCCGAAAGAUCGGCCCGCGUCUGAUUAGCUAGUUGGUGAGGUAAUGGCUCACCAAGGCGACGAUCAGUAGCUGGUCUGAGAGGAUGAUCAGCCACAUUGGGACUGAGACACGGCCCAAACUCCUACGGGAGGCAGCAGUGGGGAAUAUUGGACAAUGGGCGCAAGCCUGAUCCAGCCAUGCCGCGUGAGUGAUGAAGGCCCUAGGGUUGUAAAGCUCUUUUGUGCGGGAAGAUAAUGACGGUACCGCAAGAAUAAGCCCCGGCUAACUUCGUG